GUAGGUGGCGAGCGUUAUCCGGAUUUAUUGGGCGUAAAGCGUGCGCAGGCGGUUUAUUAAGUCUAAAAUUAAAGUCCGAAGCUUAACUUCGGUUCGUUUUAGAAACUGGUAGACUAGAGUGCGGUAGAGGCAAAUGGAAUUUCUAGUGUAGCGGUAAAAUGCGUAGAUAUUAGAAGGAACACCAGUGGCGAAGGCGAUUUGCUGGGCCGCAACUGGCGCUCAUGCACGAAAGCGUGGGGAGCAAA
rnacentral:rRNA from 1 species